AUUUUUAGUCAGAAAUUAUGAAUGGGAUCCCAACUAGUAUACCAGAAUGCAGCCUGCGCAUGCGCGCUGCGCUUAUCCGGUUUUGCUUUACAAACAAUGCAUCUCAUUUCUGUGAUCGAAAAUAUAAAAAAAGAGAAACAAAAGCUGGAGCCAGCGACAUCGCUCGAAUUUAUUCAAUAUUGGCGACAAGACCAAGUGUUUGCAGAACUAUAGAAGUAUCGUUGGAAGAGACGAAGACAGGGUAAUGGCUUAAACGAAUUGUAUUUAGGAUGACGUGCCGGCUAAACUAUUGCAAGUUUGACUGUUCAGCAUAAUGUUAGAACAACAAACUCUUCACCUAUGCACGGUCAUCAGCCCCCGUCAGGUCCUGGCCUGUCAUUUGUGUCACAAGGAAGUACCACACCUGGUCAUGUGUCAGGAAUUUGAGAGAUAACAUCUUACUUAGAAGUAAAUUGAAGGCAGCCAACAAUUGGACGGUGGUGCCAAUCAAUGAAAAGAAGGGAUACACGUACAUGCACUGAGUACACAGAGAUCAUCAAGGAAAAAACCCUUCGAUCAAAGUUCCUUUUUGAUUCAGCUUAUCCAAAGCUGAUUGCCUCUACAAUUGCCCCUUAUAUAUCCACCUGCAGCUAAUGAGGAGCUGCAAUAUCCAAUAGGUCAAGGAAAAGGUAUUUGAAAUGAUGCUUGAAUUUAUUUGUGUAAUAUGAAGGCGUGGUCAAAUGUGUGACAUUAUGGUCGACUGUCCUGUCAUCAUCAUGGUGAUAAAAUGUGAUUUUAAUAAGUGAACUGCUUUUAAACAUAGGGCAGAAAUAUCAUUGAUAAAAUACUGAUGAAAAUAGAAUACAAGUGCCCUGAAAUGCCAUGAGAAUAUGUAUUUGAGUUUUAAGUGUGUAAGGUAUUGUGAAUUUUGUUAAUUGUUUUGUUAUAAAAAUAUAGGAUCCAAAGUAUUCAAUCAUAGAUCACUCUGAAAAAGAAGAAUAAGUAAAAACCUUGUCUGGCAAAUAAGUACAUCAACAAUGAGCCAAGUUCCAGAUUUUUUUGUCACAAGUCAAGACCGCUAACUGGAAUUGUUGACUCUUAUAGGUGUUAUGUAUCAUGGUUUGUGUUAAGUUUUUUUAUGGGAUUCAUGAUCAAACAUGGUGAAUUAAUUGUUUUGUUAUUACAAUAGUGGAUCCAAAGUAUUUGAUCAUAGGUCACUCACUAUGAAACAGAAGAAUUUGUGAAAACCUUGUCUGGCAAAUAGCUAAAUAAACACUGGGCUCAGCAUUUUCCUGAUUUUUUGUCACAAGUAAAGAUUAUGAAAAGGAAUAAUUGACUCUUUUAGGUAUAAGCUACCAUAGUCAAUGUUGAGUGCCUGCUGCACACCACAUUUGUUUAUGUUCCAUUAACAAUGACAUCAAAGCACAAUGCUAUAUAUAGAUUAUGUAUUGUUUUCCAUUGUUUAUCAGUCUAUAAACAACCAUUUAUUGUAAUAGCCUUACAUAAACUGUCAUAAAGAUGAUAAAGUGCUGUUUAUCCAUAAAUAAAAAAAUGGUGGAGUUCAGAAAUAAUUUGAUCUGUCAAAUGUUAAAAGUUGGAAACAUUUAUUCAAAAUGUUAUCAAUAUAGUUUUGUUUCAUGAAU